rnacentral:lncRNA from 1 species
CUCCAGAAAUGAUGUCAAAUCUGGAGGAAGGGGCCUGAAGCAGGAAGAAGCUGUGUGCCUGUUUCCUGUGUUGGUUGAAUCUCUUAGAAAUUGCCCUGAGGUCACCCUGAAAAUAGAAAUCCAGUCUCAUCGUUCAUGCCUUGACCUCUUUGCCUCACAUUUAAGCAAGACACACACACACCCGUUUGGUGGAAUGGCCUUUAUUAUUAAUACUGAUAAUGGCUACCAUUAUUUAGCGCAACAACUAGGAUCAUUUAGAAAGGCUUGCAUUAACCCUUGGCCUUGCUCUCAGCACACAUGGCUGAUCUUUAGAAUUUUGUUCUGGCUCUUCCCAUCAGCGGAAGUAGCAGGAGAAAGAUUGAAGAUGGCCAACAAUAUCACGCUAGGUUGCAUUAUACAAGCCACAUGUUGUCUCUGCAGAAUUUCUACUUGGGGAAGUUUUGUAAGCAGUCUUGUGUGACAAUCCUUUAAGUAAAUCAGCCCCAGUUUAGCAAAGGAGUAUAUGAGACGAGGGAGAAACUAUUCUAACACUUUUCAGUGAGCCUGAAGUUGUAGACCUGUGGGAUCAUCUUAUCCCAGCAUCACUAUAAUCGGAAAAGUAGGUAUUAACUUUCAUUAACGGGGACUCAGAGGUGAAGAGACUUGUCCAGCAUCCCAUGGCUGGUAAAUCGGCCUUGAAGCACAGUCCUUCUCUGGUCCUUUCCACUAGGUGGUGUUGGGAGCUUAGAGUUCUAGGAGAUACAUUAAGCUCCUCCCUUCUCACUACCGCUCCUUCCAACCUAGUAUAUGUGGAAAGAUGGGAAGGACUCAGAGAGGAGAAAUAGCAGAGCCAUUCUCUCCAGCAUCUGAGUGCUUAAGGCCAGUGGAGGGCUGCAUCAUCUGUGGGUACCUGGCCACCGGCAUCAGUUCAGAUGAAGCGUCAGUACGGAGACAUGCCUUCUCUCCAUUUCCAGGCUCUGUGAAAUAUGUUGCAAGGCCUAUCUGUCUGCAACAGGACAGUGUGAACAUUUCUUGCCAUUCAUUGCUCAUGAAAAGAAGGUACAAAGACUGUGGGGAGUCAAGGUAACAUUUGAAAUUUUAUUAUGACCUUUAAUUUUCUUAAAAAACAAGCAAACCUCAGUGUACAUACAUUAAAUCUUACUUGGUCAAAUAAGAAAAUUCUAAUUGGUUUGGUGAUAGAAGUCUAACCAGUCAUUCCUCUAAAAUACUGCUCUACAUCGUUAC